AAGGGUGCAUCUCAGUGGUAGAGCGCAUGCCUAGCAUGCAUGAGGUCCUGGGUUCAAUCCCCAGUACCUCCA
rnacentral:tRNA from 1 species